GACGAACGCUGGCGGCGUGCCUAAUACAUGCAAGUAGAACGCUGAAGAGAGGAGCUUGCUCUUCUUGGAUGAGUUGCGAACGGGUGAGUAACGCGUAGGUAACCUGCCUGGUAGCGGGGGAUAACUAUUGGAAACGAUAGCUAAUACCGCAUAAAAUUGAUUAUUGCAUGAUAAUUAAUUGAAAGAUGCAACUGCAUCACUACCAGAUGGACCUGCGUUGUAUUAGCUAGUUGGUGAGGUAACGGCUCACCAAGGCGACGAUACAUAGCCGACCUGAGAGGGUGAUCGGCCACACUGGGACUGAGACACGGCCCAGACUCCUACGGGAGGCAGCAGUAGGGAAUCUUCGGCAAUGGGGGGAACCCUGACCGAGCAACGCCGCGUGAGUGAAGAAGGUUUUCGGAUCGUAAAGCUCUGUUGUAAGAGAAGAACGGGUGUGAGAGUGGAAAGUUCACACUGUGACGGUAUCUUACCAGAAAGGGACGGCUAACUACGUGCCAGCAGCCGCGGUAAUACGUAGGUCCCGAGCGUUGUCCGGAUUUAUUGGGCGUAAAGCGAGCGCAGGGCGGUUAGAUAAGUCUGAAGUUAAAGGCUGUGGCUUAACCAUAGUAUGCUUUGGAAACUGUUUAACUUGAGUGCAGAAGGGGAGAGUGGAAUUCCAUGUGUAGCGGUGAACUGCGUAGAUAUAUGGAGGAACACCGGUGGCGAAAGCGGCUCUCUGGUCUGUAACUGACGCUGACGCUCUAAGGUGUGGGGAGCAAACGUGAUUAGAUACCCUGGUAGUCCACGCCGUAAACGAUGAGUGCUAGGUGUUAGGCCCUUUCCGGGGCUUAGUGCCGCAGCUAACGCAUUAAGCACUCCGCCUGGGGAGUACGACCGCAAGGUUGAAACUCAAAGGAAUUGACGGGGGCCCGCACAAGCGGUGGAGCAUGUGGUUUAAUUCGAAGCAACGCGAAGAACCUUACCAGGUCUUGACAUCCCUCUGACCGCUCUAGAGAUAGAGUUUUCCUUCGGGACAGAGGUGACAGGUGGUGCAUGGUUGUCGUCAGCUCGUGUCGUGAGAUGUUGGGUUAAGUCCCGCAACGAGCGCAACCCCUAUUGUUAGUUGCCAUCAUUGAGUUGGGCACUCUAGCGAGACUGCCGGUAAUAAACCGGAGGAAGGUGGGGAUGACGUCAAAUCAUCAUGCCCCUUAUGACCUGGGCUACACACGUGCUACAAUGGCUGGUACAACGAGUCGCAAGCCGGUGACGGCAAGCUAAUCUCUGAAAGCCAGUCUCAGUUCGGAUUGUAGGCUGCAACUCGCCUACAUGAAGUCGGAAUCGCUAGUAAUCGCGGAUCAGCACGCCGCGGUGAAUACGUUCCCGGGCCU
rnacentral:rRNA from 1 species